rnacentral:lncRNA from 1 species
CUCAAACUAAACAUCCCGCUUCUUCAACUUAAUUUCACUGAAUAAGACAAGAAGCAAGCAAAGGGGCAGAAGAAACAAUAGUUCAAAACCACUUACUUUUUUAGAAAACUAAUUCAAUACCAUGAAUUCAACUAAAUUCUAAAUAGAAAUUCUACCACCUAAUAAACACUAGAUUUUUUAUGCUAGAAAUAAAAAGUAUAAAAUUAAUACAGUUAUGGAGCUUUACCUUCGUAGAAAGAAAGAGACAGAAUGUUAUUCGCGUCAAAAUCGCCGGAGUCGUGUCGAUUUGGCUGGAGCCGCGUCGAAAUCGCCAGAGAUUUACCUUCUGUUUACUUGGUUCAUAGUGAGAAAGAGAGAGAAGAGUGAGAGAGAGAGGUAAAAGAAUCUGAGUUGGGAUGGGUUUUAUUUGUUUUAUAUAGCUGACCCAUUUGACACCCCACCCAAC